CUACAACCUGAAUUUUAGUUUGGCAGUUUUAGUGAUUCUGAAAAGAAAACCAAAGGAUAAGAUUCUAAGGUCAUGAAAUAUUUGCCUGUUUUACUCUACCUUGUCUAUAUUGAGAUGUCAUUUAUUUACUCCUGAAAAUCGAGAAUAUCAGUUGAUACUCUUGGUUAAUCAAUAGUUUUAUCAAUGAAGUAUAUACUUUUGGCUUUCUAUCGAUGUCACCCCGGUUAUUUGUUAAUUACACAUUGAAGUCAGCUGCACAUCUACCUUGGAAGACAUUUACGUAAAAAGCUUGUAAUAGUUUCAUUAACAAUGUCUGCUUUUCUUAUCCCCACACCAACAUCAUACUGGCUGACAUAGUAUAAAGAACAGGUGUUUCUUAUUUAUCUUCACCAAAGAUGGCUUUGUCCUGUGGAUAAAAGUAGAAUAAACAUAUUUGAGAAGCCUUACUGAGGAAAAGGCCAUGUGAAACCCUGACACAGACUAA
rnacentral:lncRNA from 1 species